GACGGAGGGUGCAAGCGUUGCUCGGAAUUAUUGGGCGUAAAGGGUAGGUAGGUGGUCUCAUUUGUCUGGGGUGAAAUCCUUGAGCUUAACUCAAGAAGUGCCCCAGAAACGGUGAGACUAGAGUCCUGGAGAGGGUCGUGGAAUUCCCGGUGUAGCGGUGAAAUGCGUAGAGAUCCGGAGGAACCCCAGAGGCGAAGGCGGCAGCCUGGUUGGCUCCUGACGCUCGGACACGACAGCAUGGGGAGCGAACGGG
rnacentral:rRNA from 1 species